UGAAUGAAAAACCCAAUGGGCAUAAACAUUUAACUUAUUGCAAUCAUCAUCAUCAUCAAUGUUUGGUUUUGGUGUUGAAAAGCUGAAAGGCCACUCCUUUUAGUGCUUGGUACAGAUUCGUACCAACAAAACAAACCCAAAAACAAGAUUCCUGCAAUCCCCGGACUCAGUGGCGAUCCACCGAGUCCGACUCGGACGCACCCACACCACCACCCUCUAUAUCUAUACAUAUAUAAUAAGGCUACGACCUUCAUACCCAUAAAGCUCUUCCAUUUUCUCCAAAAAUCUAGGCUCCUUUUCUUUUCAUCAAUCCACCCAUUUUUCUUUUACUCAGAAAUACAAGAAAAAUUAUGGGCCUCUCUGUUGUGCAAGGGUUCACGAAGUCGCUGGCAAUGACGGUGUUGUCGGAGAUCGGAGACAAGACUUUUUUUGCAGCUGCUAUCUUAGCAAUGCGUCACCCAAGAAGGCUUGUUUUGUCAGGUUGCCUUGGAGCUCUGAUUGUUAUGACUAUCUUAUCAGCUGUUGUUGGCUGGGCUGCUCCAAAUCUUAUCCCACGGAAAUGGACUCAUCAUAUCACGACAUUAUUGUUUCUGGGGUUCGGCUUAUGGUCUCUAUGGGAUGCAUUUAAUGAUGGAGAGGCUGAAGAAUUGGCUGAAGUUGAAAAGGAACUGGACGCUGCUAUUAAAAGUAAUGCUGGAGAAACCAAAGAGAAUAAUAAGGAUGCAGAUGAUCGGAAAAAACAAAGUCGCCCCUUUCUAUCUCAAUUCUUUUCCCCCAUCUUGCUGAAGGCUUUCUCCAUUACUUUCUUCGGUGAAUGGGGUGAUAAGAGUCAGCUUGCCACAAUAGGUUUGGCUGCAGAUGAGAAUCCUCUGGGCGUUGUUCUUGGUGGAAUCCUUGGACAAGCUUUGUGUACUACAGCUGCUGUCCUGGGAGGAAAAAGUCUAGCAACUCAAAUAUCUGAAAAAGUGGUUGCACUCUCUGGAGGAGUUCUUUUCAUUGUUUUUGGAAUCCAAUCCUUUCUCUCAACUGUUGAGUCAUGAUGCCUCCAAAUUACUGAGAAAUGAAGAUAACUCGUGGUUAAAAAUAGACAUUUAACAUUGUAGAAGUUGUUAUCCAUUAGUAAUUCAGGGGAUGACAAAAGCAGCUACUUCAUGCUCUAGAAGAUCGACCUUAUGGUACUUGUUCUCCCCUUUAAGUACACACCACAAGAAAACGGAAAAGCAGCAAUUUCUGUUUCUUGAUCAGUUGAUUGCGACUUUGUUGAGAACAAUAGCAACAUAGCUUUGGAGGUGUUGGCUAAGCUUAAUUGUGGAUGAGUAGAAUUUAAGAGUACGGGCAUUACAGUUCAUCCUCUCUGUUCUUAGGCAGCGUCAACUAAUACCAGAACAUUGUAUUAAUUGGAAAAUUAGGUAAGAUGAUUACGUCUGUCAAUCAUCUGGUUGUCAAACUCAUUCGAGUAAAAAACUGUGCUUUUUCCCCACAAAAUGAAGAAAGCUUAGCACUUCUUCUAUCA